CACGGGGGGAGCAAGCGUUGUUCGGAUUCAUUGGGCGUAAAGGGCUCGUAGGUGGCUUUGUAAGUCGGAGGUGAAAGACCACGGCUCAACCGUGGAAGCGCCUUCGAAACUGUGAAGCCUGAGGCUGGGAGAGGAAAUCGGAAUUCCUGGUGUAGCGGUGAAAUGCGUAGAUAUCAGGAGGAACACCGGUGGCGAAGGCGGAUUUCUGGACCAGUUCUGACACUGAUGAGCGAAAGCCAGGGGAGCAAACAGG
rnacentral:rRNA from 1 species